rnacentral:rRNA from 1 species
GACGAGGCACUACGGUGCUGAAGCAACAAAUGCCCUGCUUCCAGGAAAAGCCUCUAAGCAUCAGGUAACAUCAAAUCGUACCCCAAACCGACACAGGUGGUCAGGUAGAGAAUACCAAGGCGCUUGAGAGAACUCGGGUGAAGGAACUAGGCAAAAUGGUGCCGUAACUUCGGGAGAAGGCACGCUGACACGUAGGUGAAGUGAUUUACUCAUGGAGCUGAAGUCAGUCGAAGAUACCAGCUGGCUGCAACUGUUUAUUAAAAACACAGCACUGUGCAAACACGAAAGUGGACGUAUACGGUGUGACGCCUGCCCGGUGCCGGAAGGUUAAUUGAUGGGGUCAGCGUAAGCGAAGCUCCUGAUCGAAGCCCCGGUAAACGGCGGCCGUAACUAUAACGGUCCUAAGGUAGCGAAAUUCCUUGUCGGGUAAGUUCCGACCUGCACGAAUGGCGUAAUGAUGGCCAGGCUGUCUCCACCCGAGACUCAGUGAAAUUGAACUCGCUGUGAAGAUGCAGUGUACCCGCGGCAAGACGGAAAGACCCCGUGAACCUUUACUAUAGCUUGACACUGAACAUUGAGCCUUGAUGUGUAGGAUAGGUGGGAGGCUUUGAAGUGUGGACGCCAGUCUGCAUGGAGCCGACCUUGAAAUACCACCCUUUAAUGUUUGAUGUUCUAACGUGGACCCGUAAUCCGGGUUGCGGACAGUGUCUGGUGGGUAGUUUGACUGGGGCGGUCUCCUCCUAAAGAGUAACGGAGGAGCACGAAGGUUGGCUAAUCCUGGUCGGACAUCAGGAGGUUAGUGCAAUGGCAUAAGCCAGCUUGACUGCGAGCGUGACGGCGCGAGCAGGUGCGAAAGCAGGUCAUAGUGAUCCGGUGGUUCUGAAUGGAAGGGCCAUCGCUCAACGGAUAAAAGGUACUCCGGGGAUAACAGGCUGAUACCGCCCAAGAGUUCAUAUCGACGGCGGUGUUUGGCACCUCGAUGUCGGCUCAUCACAUCCUGGGGCUGAAGUAGGUCCCAAGGGUAUGGCUGUUCGCCAUUUAAAGUGGUACGCGAGCUGGGUUUAGAACGUCGUGAGACAGUUCGGUCCCUAUCUGCCGUGGGCGCUGGAGAACUGAGGGGGGCUGCUCCUAGUACGAGAGGACCGGAGUGGACGCAUCACUGGUGUUCGGGUUGUCAUGCCAAUGGCACUGCCCGGUAGCUAAAUGCGGAAGAGAUAAGUGCUGAAAGCAUCUAAGCACGAAACUUGCCCCGAGAUGAGUUCUCCCUGAGACUUAGAGUCUCCUGAAGGAACGUUGAAGACGACGACGUUGAUAGGCCGGGUGUGUAAGCGCAGCGAUGCGUUGAGCUAACCGGUACUAAUGAACCGUGAGGCUUAACCUUACA